CUACAGUGAGAACAAAUUGGUUCCUUUCUACUUGAUGCCUCCUCGUUGGACCUGGCUGGUUAAUUUUGAUGUUUCAUUUGGAUUUCUGUUCUGGUUGAGAAGCACAACUCGUGCUUAUUCACAAUCAAAUUUUGUGAGAACAAAUUGGUUCCUUUCUACUUGAUGCCUCCUCGUUGGACCUGGCUGGUUAAUUUUGAUGUUUCAUUUGGAUUUCUGUUCUGGUUAAGAAGCACAACUCGUGCUUAUUCACAAUCAAAUUUUGUGAGAACAAAUUGGUUCCUUUCUACUUGAUGCCUCCUCGUUGGACCUGGCUGGUUAAUUUUGAUGUUUCAUUUGGAUUUCUGUUCUGGUUAAGAAGCAUGACUCGUUCCUUUUCACAUUCAAAUUUUGUGAGAACAAAUUGGUUCCUUUCUACUUGAUGCCUCCUCGUUGGACCUGGCU